rnacentral:lncRNA from 1 species
GCUAUGUAAUAUUUUUAUCACUAUUUCACUACUGGGUAUUUCCAAUUGUUUGUGCUAGUUGUUAUCCUUUUGCAAUCCUGGGACAGCUGGUUAGGGAUUCGUCCAGACACGCCUCUCUGAACGAGUUCUAAAGAACACACGGGGGUUGUCUGGUUUGCGCUAGGGGUAAAAAUGAUUGUACUAUUUGCUUUUGUAGUUAAUAGAUUAGAGUUUUCUAACCGCAACAUAUAGAACAGGUGUUCUUAAGUGCGGGACACUGAAAACCGAAUAUAGCAACGGAGGAAACGAUAGCUCGAAGCAUACCUCGAAGCACAGUGAAGCCCAUCAUUAAAAAGGUGAGAAAUUAUGGAACAACUUUGAAUCUGCCCAGAACUGGCCGUCCUCCAAAAUUGAGUGUCCAGACAAGAAGAGCCGUAAUAAAGGAGGCCACCAUGAGGCCUACGGCAACUCUAAAGGAGUUAGAGGUGAGUGUACUCUGUGUGCUCUGGGUGAUGGUGUAGAGGCUGCAGGCUGGGUGUGUGCUCCUGGAGUGAGGUGCUCUGUGUGCUCUGGGUGAAGGUGUAGAGGCUGCAGGCUGGGUGUGUGCUC